rnacentral:rRNA from 1 species
UACGUAGGGGGCGAGCGUUGUCCGGAGUUACUGGGCGUAAAGCGCUUGUAGGCGGUCCACCAAGUUUGGGGUGACAGUUGCCGACUUAAUCGGCAAAGUGCCUCAAAGACUGGCGGACUUGAGGGCCACAGAGGGACAUGGAACUCCAGGUGUAGUGGUGAAAUGCGUAGAUAUCUGGAGGAACACCUGUGGCGAAAGCGGCUCACUGGACCAUAACUGACGCUGAUGCACGAAAGCUAGGGGAGCAAACAGG